UGUGGUUCAACUGAUAUGAAGAGCUUGCUCGGAUUUGAAGAUGAACAUUGCAAAGAGUGGCGAACGGGUGAGUAACACGUGGGAAACCUACCUCUUAGCGGGGGAUAACACUUGGAAACAAGUGCUAAUACCGCAUAAUACUGAUAACCGCAUGGUUAUCAGUUGAAAGAUGGUUCUGCUAUCACUAAGAGAUGGUCCCGCGGUGUAUUAGCUAGUUGGUAAGGUAAUGGCUUACCAAGGCAAUGAUACAUAGCCGAGUUGAGAGACUGAUCGGCCACAAUGGGACUGAUACACGGCCCAUACUCCUACGGGAGGCAGCAGUAGGGAAUCUUCCACAAUGGACGAAAGUCUGAUGGAGCAACGCCGCGUGUGUGAUGAAGGGUUUCGGCUCGUAAAACACUGUUGUAAGAGAAGAAUGACAUUGAGAGUAACUGUUCAGUGUGUGACGGUAUCUUACCAGAAAGGAACGGCUAAAUACGUGCCAGCAGCCGCGGUAAUACGUAUGUUCCAAGCGUUAUCCGGAUUUAUUGGGCGUAAAGCGAGCGCAGACGGUUGUUUAAGUCUGAAGUGAAAGCCCACAGCUUAACUGUGGAAGUGCUUUGGAAACUGGAUAACUUGAGUGCAGUAGAGGAGAGUGGAACUCCAUG
rnacentral:rRNA from 1 species